rnacentral:rRNA from 1 species
CCUACGGGAGGCAGCAGUGGGGAAUAUUGGGCAAUGGGCGCAAGCCUGACCCAGCAACGCCGCGUGAAGGAAGCAGGCUUUCGGGUUGUAAACUUUUUUUUAGAGGGAAGUGUAGAAGUCGGUACCUCUUGAUUAAGCUAUGGCUAAUUACGUGCCAGCAGCCGCGGUCAUACGUAGGUGGCAAGCGUUGUCCGGAUUUCCUGGGUUUAAAGGGUGUGUAGCCGGGCCGGCAAGUCAGAUGUGAAAUCCAAAGGCUCAACCUUGGAACUGCAGUUGAAACUGUUGGUCUUGAGUAUCGUAGAGGCAGGCGGAAUUCGUGGUGUAGCGGUGAAAUGCGUAGAUAUUAGGAGGAACACCGGUGGCGAAGGCGGCUUGCUGGACGACAACUGACGGUGAGGCGCGAAAGCGUGGGGAGCAAACAGGAUUAGAUACCCGAGUAGUC